UCUCCCUCUCUCUCCUCUAUCUCUCUCUCUCUCUCUCUCUUAGGUAGAUGUUUUUUAAGAGUCUUAACUGAAGGUAGACACUAAGAGUUUAGGUAGAGAACAAGAUGUUUUUUAAGAGUCUUAUUAACUAAAGGUAGACACUAGGAGUUUAGGUAGAUGUUUUAAUAGAGUCUUAACUGAAGGUAGACACUAGGUGUUUAGGUAGAGAACAAUGUGUUUUUAAUAGAGUCUUAACUAAAGGUAGACACUAGGAGUUUAGGUCAUGUUUUUAAUAGAGUCUUAACUAAAGGUAGACACUAGGAGUUUAGGUAGAUGUUUUAAUAGAGUCUUAACUGAAGGUAGACACUAGGAGUUUAGGUAGAUGUUUUUUAAGAGUCUUAUUAACUGAAGGUAGACACUAGGAGUUUAGGUAGAUGUUUUAAUAGAGUCUUAUUAACUAAAGGUAGACACUAGGAGUUUAGGUAGAGAACAAUAUGUUUUUAAUAGAGUCUUAUUAACUAAAGGUAGACACUAGGAGUUUAGGUAGAUGUUUUAAUAGAGUCUUAUUAACUAAAGGUAGACACUAGGAGUUUAGGUAGAUGUUUUAAUAGAGUCUUAACUAAAGGUAGACACUAGGAGUUUAGGUAGAGAACAAUAUGUUUUUAAUAGAGUCUUAACUGAAGGUAGACACUAGGAGUUUAGGUAGAUGUUUUUUAAUAGAGUCUUAACUGAAGGUAGACACUAGGAGUUUAGGUAGAUGUUUUUAAUAGAGUCUUAACUAAAGGUAGACACUAGGAGUUUAGGUAGAGAACAAUAUGUUUUUAAUAGAGUCUUAACUAAAGGUAGACACUAGGAGUUUAGGUAGAGAACAAUAUGUUUUUAAUAGAGUCUUAACUAAAGGUAGACACUAGGAGUUUAGGUAGAUGUUUUUUAAUAGAGUCUUAACUAAAGGUAGACACUAGGAGUUUAGGUAGAUGUUUUAAUAGAGUCUUAACUGAAGGUAGACACUAGGAGUUUAGGUAGAGAACAAUAUGUUUUUAAUAGAGUCUUAACUAAAGGUAGACACUAGGAGUUUAGGUAGAUGUUAUAAUAGUCUUAACUAAAGGUAGACACUAGGAGUUUAGGUAGAGAAGCAAUAUGUUUUUUAAUAGAGUCUUAACUCUGUGGUCCCAUAUGGCACCCUAUUCCCUACAUAGUGCCCUACUUUUGACCAGAGCCCUAUGGCACCCUAUUCCCUAUAUAGGGCACUACUUUAGACCAGAGCCCUAUUGCACCC